GAUGAACGCUGGCGGCGUGCCUAACACAUUCAAGUCGAACGGUGACGAGGACUUCGGUCCUCUGAUCAGUGGCGGACGGGUGAGUAACGCGUGAGCAACCUGCCUUUGCUUGGGGGAUAACAACUGGAAACGGUUGCUAAUACCGCAUAACGUAGCGACUUCGCAUGGAGAUGCUACCAAAGAUUUAUUGAGCAAAGAUGGGCUCGCGUCUGAUUAGAUAGUUGGUGAGGUAACGGCUCACCAAGUCAACGAUCAGUAGCCGGACUGAGAGGUUGAACGGCCACAUUGGAACUGAGAUACGGUCCAG
rnacentral:rRNA from 1 species